CCUCCCACGCAGACUCCAGGCUUGGCCCUCGGAAGCAAGACACAAGCACAGGCUAGAGGAGCACUUGUGCUCUUGAAAAGAUGGAGAAUGAGAGGCCGACGUGAACAUGACAGCCCCAGUCAAGCUCCAAGCUGAACGAGGCUGCAAGUAUGACCUCAGCUUCCCCCACGCAGCGAAGAACCACCACCCUACUGAGCCCCAUCAACCUCCACAGUAGCCUGCUGUCAUUUCCUGAAACACAUGCUUGCUCCUGCCAAAGCCUUUGCACCUGUGGUCUCUUCUUCCUAGAAUGUUCUACUCAACCCCAGGCAGAAGUUGGAGAAUAAGGAAGUUAAGAAGUAAUGCAGUUGCUAUGACCACACGUUGGAACUUGUAGUGCCAGGCAAUCUACAAUGUUGACAGCUACUGAUUGGCCUCUGUUACCCC